UUCCUCCCGAGUGCUUGCACUCAAUUGGAAAGAGGAGUGGCGGACGGGUGAGUAACACGUGGGUAACCUACCCAUCAGAGGGGGAUAACACUUGGAAACAGGUGCUAAUACCGCAUAACAGUUUAUGCCGCAUGGCAUAAGAGUGAAAGGCGCUUUCGGGUGUCGCUGAUGGAUGGACCCGCGGUGCAUUAGCUAGUUGGUGAGGUAACGGCUCACCAAGGCCACGAUGCAUAGCCGACCUGAGAGGGUGAUCGGCCACACUGGGACUGAGACACGGCCCAGACUCCUACGGGAGGCAGCAGUAGGGAAUCUUCGGCAAUGGACGAAAGUCUGACCGAGCAACGCCGCGUGAGUGAAGAAGGUUUUCGGAUCGUAAAACUCUGUUGUUAGAGAAGAACAAGGACGUUAGUAACUGAACGUCCCCUGACGGUAUCUAACCAGAAAGCCACGGCUAACUACGUGCCAGCAGCCGCGGUAAUACGUAGGUGGCAAGCGUUGUCCGGAUUUAUUGGGCGUAAAGCGAGCGCAGGCGGUUUCUUAAGUCUGAUGUGAAAGCCCCCGGCUCAACCGGGGAGGGUCAUUGGAAACUGGGAGACUUGAGUGCAGAAGAGGAGAGUGGAAUUCCAUGUGUAGCGGUGAAAUGCGUAGAUAUAUGGAGGAACACCAGUGGCGAAGGCGGCUCUCUGG
rnacentral:rRNA from 1 species